AAGACUAUACUUUCAGGGAUCAUUUCUAUAGUUUAUAACUUGGAAAGUCGUUCUGAAAGUGUUACGUCUCUCUAUCCACGAUGACGAGUCGA
rnacentral:snoRNA from 1 species